rnacentral:tRNA from 1 species
GCCCCAUUCGUCUAGUGGACUAGGACAUCGGCUUUUCACGCCGAAAACAGGAGUUCAAUUCUCCUAUGGGGUA